UUUUCAUUACACACACUCGAAAAAAUCCCGGGAGACUCUUUAGGUAAAAAUCUUAUCCACCUUCUUCUUCUUCUUCUUCUUCUUCUUUGUGUUGAAGCUUCUCUUGUUCCACUCUGCAACCGUGGCUUUGUUUUUCCUCUUGCUGACUUCAAUGCCGGACGAAACCAAUCAAACAAUGCAUUUCAGCUUCAAUUGUUGAUUAACCUUAUAGAAAUGGCCUUUGCAACUGCCAAACUAUCUGAACUUCCAUUCAAGACCUCAUUUCCACUCUCCUCCCACUCCCGUACACUUCUCUCAAAUCAUCCCAAUUUCUCUUUGCAGAUUCUUAACACUUUCUCUUCUCUCCGUACCCACACUGAGCAUAGCGGCAAAAGAAUCCCUAAAACCUCCCACAAUUCUGCAUCCCCUUCUUCUUCUUCUUCUUCUUCUUCUUCUUCUUCUUCUACUUGGGUCUCCAAAUGGCCUCCUGGGAGCUCGCGGAAUGAUCGUAAAGUCGAGAAGAAGGUGGUCCAACCGUCCCGAUAUGAUCGGACUGAUCGAGCGGAGAAUCAGACCGAGUACUUAGAUAAGGAUAAGGGGCAGACUGCAAUUGAGCGAAUCGUGCUUCGCUUACGGAAUUUAGGGAUAGGUUCAGAUGAUGAGGACGAGGACGAGGAGGAUGGAGAUGAUAACGGAUUGUAUUCUCGCGAGGCAAGGCUGGUGACUGGGGAGGAAACACUUGGGGAUUUACUUCAACGUGAAUGGAUUCGACCCGAUGCCUCAUUGUAUUCGAAUGAGGAUGGGGAGGAUGGAAUGGUUUUACCUUGGGAAAGAGAGGAGGAAAGGGGUGAAGAGGAGGAGUGUGGAAGGGGGUCGAAGAGGAGAAAGAUGAAGGCUCCGACAUUAGCUGAAUUGACUAUUGAAGAUGAGGAGCUGAGGCGAUUGAGGAGAAUGGGGAUGUUUAUUAGAGAGCGGAUUAAUGUACCGAAAGCGGGGAUUACACAGGCAGUGUUGGAGAAGAUUCAUGGGAAAUGGAGGAAGGAGGAAUUGGUAAGGCUUAAGUUCCAUGAGGAGCUUGCGCAUGAUAUGAAGACAGCACAUGAGAUUGUAGAGCGACGAACUGGGGGAUUGGUUCUAUGGAGGUCUGGAAGUGUUAUGGUUGUUUACCGCGGUAGUAACUAUGAAGGACCUUCUAAAACUAAACCCGUUACAAGGGAGGGAGAUGGGGUAUUCAUCCCAGAUGUUUCUUCUGCUGCCACUUCAACAAGUGACAAUGUUGCAGCUUCAGCUCCAGAGAAGACUACGAUGCCGAUUGGGCCUCCAAAGUCUAACGACGGCUUGUCAGAGGAAGAAGCUGAAUACAACCAACUAUUAGAUGGUUUAGGUCCUCGUUUUGUUGAAUGGUGGGGCACAGGAGUGCUUCCUGUUGAUGCCGAUCAGCUUCCUCCAAUUGUUCCUGGUUACAAAACUCCUUUCAGGCUUCUUCCAACUGGAAUGCGUUCUCGACUUACCAAUGCAGAGAUGACUCAGAUGAGGAAACUUGCAAAAUCCUUACCUUGUCAUUUUGCCCUUGGGAGAAAUAGGAACCAUCAGGGUUUGGCUGUUGCUAUACUUAAACUUUGGGAAAAAAGCCUAGUAGUUAAAAUUGCUGUCAAAAGAGGCAUACAGAACACCAAUAAUAAACUCAUGGCCGAGGAGAUAGGGAACUUAACAGGAGGUGUGUUACUAUUGAGGAAUAAAUAUUUUAUCGUCAUAUACCGUGGGAAGGAUUUUCUCCCACCAAGUGUAGCUGUAGCUUUGGCAGAAAGGCAGGAAUUAACGAAAAAGAUUCAAGAUGUGGAAGAGAAAGCUCGAAGUAAAGCGGUCGAGGCAACUUCAUCAAGCAUUGAUGGACAGGCACCUGCAGGUACCUUGGCCGAAUUCUAUGAGGCUCAGUCCAGGUGGGGAAGGGAAAUAACUGCUGAAGACCGUGAAAAAAUGGUUGAAGAAAGCUCCAGAGCAAAAACUGCAAGACUUGUCAGACGAAUUGAACACAAGCUAGGUGUUGCCCAAGCGAAGAAACUUAGAGCAGAAAAAUUGCUAUCUAAAAUCGAAGCAUCCAUGGUUCUUUCUAGCCCCGAUGAUGACCAGGAAACAAUAACAGAUGAGGAACGAGUCAUGUUUCGGAGGGUUGGGUUACGAAUGACCGCAUAUUUACCUAUGGGCAUUCGUGGUGUCUUUGAUGGUGUUGUUGAAAACAUGCAUUUACACUGGAAGCAUAGAGAGCUUGUGAAGUUAAUUAGCAAGCAAAAAACACUUGCUUUUGUGGAAGAAACUGCAAGAUUGUUAGAGUAUGAGAGUGGUGGAAUACUUGUUUCGAUAGAUAGAGUUCCAAAAGGAUAUGCCCUUGUUUACUAUCGUGGAAAGAAUUAUCGUCGACCCAUUACCUUGAGACCAAGAAACUUACUUACAAAGGCAAAAGCAUUAAAGCGCUCAGUUGCCAUGCAGCGUCACGAGGCUCUCAGUCAGCACAUAUCUGAACUCGAGAAAAACAUAGAGCAAAUGAAGAAAGAAAUUGGUGUCACUGAAGAUUCAGAUGAUGAAAAUAAAUUGACGUCUCAGGAUCGGCUUGUCUCAGAAUCUUUCCACGACAAGGAAGCAUAUUUGUCCGCGUUUUCAGAUGUUGACAAUGAUGAAGAUAGCAAUGAUGAAGACAGUGAAUAUGAAGAGGAUGAAGAUGACGAUUUUGAUUUUUCCGACUCAGAAAGCACUGAUGAUCUACUGAACUAGGUUGUGAGAGCAUUUUCAAGUUGUGAACAGAUGGAGUGCUCUUAUUGCAAUUGCGUAUUUUCAGUUCCUUGCUUCUAUAACUAAAUCGAACGUCCUCAUUUCGAUCUCCAUACCAGGUUGAAUGAUGUGGAAAAUAAAAAUCCGAAACCCAAUUUCUGCCUAAGUUGACUCGAACAUUUACAAGAAGUACUGGGUCAUUUGCUUCAAGUUCAAUCCAAAACGGAUAUGAUUCAUUUUCUUCUUUGAAGAAUGGAGUAAUGGGUUCCUCUAGGUUCUGUAGAGACAUUAUUCUUUUUCUAAUCUUUCCUUCUCAUUUUUUUUUGUAAAUUCAAUUCGGAUAACUUCUCUCUUCUGCAAAUUUACUUUUUAGCUCACAAAGUGCAGGAAUUAUGUAUGAAUUCAGCCAAUAUCUGGUUCUAUGCCACUUCCAAAUGGGUUCCCUUUUGGUAAUACAUUGUGUAUGUGAUUCCUUGCUUGUUAAAAAUAAAAUAAGGUAUCAAAGGUCCCUAUUUGAA